rnacentral:rRNA from 1 species
UUCGCAAUGCCCGAAAGGGUGACGAAGCGACGCCGCGUGCGGGAAGAAGGCCUUCGGGUUGUAAACCUCUGUCGGGAGUUAAGAAAUGCAAGGAUAUUAAUAGUGUCUUUGUUUGACUAAGGCUCCGGAGGAAGCCACGGCUAACUCUGUGCCAGCAGCCGCGGUAAUACAGAGGCGGCAAGCGUUGUUCGGAAUUAUUGGGCGUAAAGAGCACGUAGGCGGCCAUGUAAGUCGGUUGUGAAAGCCUUCCGCUUAACGGGAGAACAGCAUCCGAUACUGCAUGGCUUGAGUGCGGGAGGGGAGAGUGGAACUUCUGGUGGAGCGGUGAAAUGCGUAGAUAUCAGAAGGAACGCCGGCGGCGAAAGCGACUCUCUGGCCCAUAACUGACGCUGAGUGUGCGAAAGCUAGGGGAGCAAACGGGAUUAGAUACCCCGGUAGUCCUAGCCGUAAACGAUGGGCACUAAGUAGAGGGGUUU